CUUGGAUUGAUUAAAACAAGUCAAAGUUUUAUUCGUCCAACACUUUAUGACCAAAUACCUACAUCCUCACAGAGCUGCUAGCAUGGCUGUAGACUCAUUGACUGAGAACAGUGUUGUGCUGCUACGAGAAGUGAUGGCCAGAUCUACUUCACUUCACUUCAGAUGAGUCACAGCAGAGCGGUUAGACAUCAGAUAAACCACGACAUGUCUAUUGUACAGAGGUUCAAUAAAAUACAUCAAUCAAUCAAUCAAUCAAUCACACUUUAUUUGUAUAGUUACAUACACUAUAGUAUACACUGUUCACUCAAACAAAAUGCCUCACACCUUAAAAACAACCCCAUACACACAAAAUAAUAACUGUAAUCAAUAAAACACUCAAUGAUAACACCACCCACAAUGUAACAAGGAAACACUAUCUCCUCAAUUUGCAGAGAGGAAACACCGGAGGACGGAUUAGAAAGAGAUACAAACUCAAAACAAGACAAUGAUUUUGCAAGAAAUGUGUAAAUAGAUAAAUAAAUAAGUAAAUAAAUAAAUAAAUAAAAUUCAAUUAAAUCUCCAUUUAACUGCUUUUGUCAUGUUCUGCAUCAGCACCACCAGAAGCACCUCCUCCACCAGUAGCAGCAUCCUCAUCAGUCGAGCUUUCAGCACCAUUCCUCCUCAUUAGUGGACUAUUUUCCUCAGGUUGAUUUUGUCCUGACGCGUUGAGCAGAUCAAGAACAUUUCCUUCAGCUGGGUCGUCAUUUGCAUUUGUUGGGUCUUGUAGAUUCUGGACACACCAUAUAUCUGUAAUUAAGGAGAAUUUUUUCAUGCCAUGAUGAUACAAACAACCCCAGCAGUGUAGUGCUAGUCUGUAUACAAUGCCUAAAAGUUCAGAUACUGCACUCUACAUUUCUGAUAAAGAUCACUAUCUUCAUCAGAAAUGUAGCUUUUUUUUACCUUCAUAGUGAUUUAAUUUGACUGAAUAACAGAAAUGAUAGUUCAUCAAAAUGGAUAUUUUUCAUUUAAAGACUAAAACUAGGGGAAAAAUCAAUAACUUAACUUGGCUCUAGGUUUAGCUAACUUAAACUGCGGUACUUUAUGGUUACAUAGCUGUGUUCAUCCAUUUCAGGUCACAAGGUUUCUGUUUGCUAUUUGAGUGCAUUCCUUUUCACCAGUUGAUGAUAUAUUUAUAUUUAAAAUAAGAAUUACAAUAUAGAAUGAACUAAGAUCACUCACAUAUUUUGUGUCGGUACACUAUGAGAAGUGUGAUGAUGAUGAUGGAAAGAGGUAGGCCGACACCUAAUCCAACAGCCAAAGAAGUGUCGCUCUUUGGUUCCUCAGCUGUAAAUUAUGUGAAAUAACAGAGUAAGAACGUAUUUAACAUGCUGCACUGAUAUUUGAUCACAUUUUAAACACAUUAAUGUACUGUGUGUUUGGUAUGUAGUGCCACAAGAAUACUGAAUUCUUUCAGCUCCACAAAUCUUCAGUCACUGAUUUAUUAGAUAAAUCAAUCAACUGGAACACAAUACAAUUCAUUUAAAGCAAGUUUUGUCAUAAAUUA
rnacentral:lncRNA from 15 species